rnacentral:misc_RNA from 1 species
GAUGAAGAACGUAGCGAAAUGCGAUAAGUAAUGUGAAUUGCAGAAUUCAGUGAAUCAUCGAAUCUUUGAACGCACAUUGCGCCCCCCGGCAUUCCGGGGGGCAUGCCUGUUCGAGCGUCUCCAGGACGAAUCCUCGCGCGAGUGAACGCGCGGUCGUGGCGGAGGUGGCGUGCCCGAGCAGGGCGGCCACCGCGCUGGAAUCCAUGGGCGGACGCCUGCCGCGUGGCCGAGCGUGAUAUGACGCAUUGGCGCUCGUGCGCGGCGAGGCUGCCAGCCCUGGCCCGUCUGUCGGGCGGGGUUGAUCACCACGUGGGAACUCCUCGAAUCAGGUAGGGAUACCCGCUGAACUUAAGCAUAUCAAUAAGCGGAGGA